rnacentral:rRNA from 1 species
GAUGAACGCUGGCGGUGUGCCUAAUACAUGCAAGUCGAACGACAGCGCACGGAGCUUGCACUGGUCCAUCUAGUGGCGAACGGGCGAGUAACACGUGGGUAACCUGCUACUCAGAGGGGGAUAACAUCCGGAAACGGCUGACACUAAUGCCUCGGUCUUCGUACCGCUUGGUUCGGAGAGGCUACGAGCCGUGCGCUUCUGAUGAAGGCUGGAUCCGCGGUGCAUUAGCUAGUUGGUGAGGUAACGGCUCACCAAGGCCGUGAUGCGUAGCCGACCUGAGAGGGUGAUCAGCCACAUUGGAACUGAGACACGGCCCAAACUCCUACGGGAGGCAGCAGUAGGGAAUCUUCCGCAAUGGACGCAAGUCUGACGGAGCAACGCCGCGUGAGUGAAGAAGGUUUUCGGAUCGUAAAGCUCUUUUGUUAGGGAAGAACAAGUGCUGGAGUAACUGUUAGCGCCUUGACGGUAUCUAAACAGAAAGCCACGGCUAACUACGUG